CCUACGGGAGGCAGCAGUGAGGAAUAUUGGUCAAUGGACGCAAGCCUGAACCAGCCAAGUAGCGUGCAGGAUGACUGCCCUACGGGUUGUAAACUUCUUUUAUACAGGAAUAAAGUGAUGCACGUGUGCCUUAUUGUAUGUACUGUAUGAAUAAGGAACGGCUAACUCCGUGCCAGCAGCCGCGGUAAUACGGAGGGUCCGAGCGUUAUCCGGAUUUAUUGGGUUUAAAGGGAGCGUAGAGGGGCUGUUAAGUCAGUUGUGAAAGGCUGCGGCUCAACCGUAGAAUUGCAGUGGAUACUGGCAGGCUUGAGUGCAGCGGAGGUAGGCGGAAUUCGUGGUGUAGCGGUGAAAUGCUUAGAUAUCACGAAGAACUCCGAUUGCGAAGGCAGCUUACUAAACUGCCACUGACGUUGAUGCUCGAAAGUGUGGGUAUCAAACAGGAUUAGAUACCCUGGUAGUC
rnacentral:rRNA from 1 species